AUUGAACGCUGGCGGCAGGCCUAACACAUGCAAGUCGAACGAGUGGCGGACGGGUGGGUAAUGUCUGGGAAACUGCCUGAUGGAGGGGGAUAACGACUGGAAAAGGUAGAUAAUACCGCAUACAAUCCAUUGUGCCCAGGUGGCAUUAGCUAGUUGGUGGGGUAACGGCUCACCAAGGCGACGAUCCCUAGCUGGUCUGAGAGGAUGACCAGCCACACUGGAACUGAGACACGGCCCAGACUCCUACGGGAGGCAGCAGUGGGGAAUAUUGCACAAUGGGCGCAAGCCUGAUGCAGCAACGCCGCGUGUAUGAAGAAGGCCUUCGGGUUGUAAAGUACUUUCAGCGGGGAGGCGUUACCCGCAGAAGAAGCACCGGCCAACUCCGUGCCAGCAGCCGUGGUAAUUC
rnacentral:rRNA from 1 species